rnacentral:rRNA from 1 species
GACGAACGCUGGCGGCGUGCUUAACACAUGCCAGUCGAACGGAAAGGCCCUGCUUUUGUGGGGUGCUCGAGUGGCGAACGGGUGAGUAACACGUGAGUAACCUGCCCUUGACUUUGGGAUAACUUCAGGAAACUGGGGCUAAUACUGGAUAGGAGCUCCUGCUGCAUGGUGGGGGUUGGAAAGUUUCGGCGGUUGGGGAUGGACUCGCGGCUUAUCAGCUUGUUGGUGGGGUAGUGGCUUACCAAGGCUUUGACGGGUAGCCGGCCUGAGAGGGUGACCGGGCACAUGGGGACUGAGAGACGGACCAGACUCCUACGGGAGGCAGCAGUGGGGAAUAUUGCACAAUGGGCGGAAGCCUGAUGAAGCAACGCCGCGGGCGGGAUGACGGCCUUCGGGUUGUAAACAGCUUUAGCCUGUGACGAAGCGUGAGUGACGGUAAUGGGUAAAGAAGCACCGGCUAACUACGUG